CUUGGACGUGGUCAAAUAUAAAGGAUUGUCGAUUGCACGACCACGCAGAUCAACUUUAUCCGUUUCAAUAAGUCGCAAAAUCAUGUCGGUAAAAUCCCAGGUAUUUUUUUCAGCAAUAAUUUGCUCCAUUUUGGCGGUCACGGUAAUCAACGCGGCAUCCAUGUCCAUUGAAGUGGAUGACUCCGUGGGAGCCAAGGAAGUCCAACGAUCCUGCGGUCCAGGAAUUGUGUCAUGUGUUCCAUUCACUAAUGUGUCGCAUUGUUGUGGUUUAUGCACUUAUUCGAUAUUCGGUUUCAUUUGCGCAUACAACCAGUAAUCUGGUUUUAAAUUUUGGUGAUGAAUAAAAAAGUGCAAAUUGUAAAAAUA